rnacentral:rRNA from 1 species
UACAGAGGGUGCAAGCGUUAAUCGGAAUUACUGGGCGUAAAGCGCGCGUAGGUGGUUCGUUAAGUUGGAUGUGAAAUCCCCGGGCUCAACCUGGGAAUGCAUUCAAAAACUGACGAGCUAGAGUAUGGUAGAGGGUGGUGGAAUUUCCUGUGUAGCGGUGAAAUGCGUAGAUAUAGGAAGGAACACCAGUGGCGAAGGCGACCACCUGGACUGAUACUGACACUGAGGUGCGAAAGCGUGGGGGAGCAAAACAGGAUUAGAUACCCCGGUAGUC